GCUAACCCAAGUGUACAAAACGGUGUGCAACGGCAAUCCGAGCACUUACAUUCUGGUUCUUGCAUUGCUUCCAACUCUUGUGUCUCUUUUGUUCAUGAGUCAUGUAAGAAUCUACGGAACAAACUCAGUUGAUGACAAGAAGCACCUGAAUGCUUUCUCUGCAGUUGCUAUGGCAGUCGCUGCCUAUUUCAUGGUCCUUACCGUUAUGGAAAAUUUGUUAACAUUUUCAUUAUGGGCACGCAUCAUUACAUUUAUAAUUCUGCUGCUUCUACUUGCAUCACCUCUUAGAGUUGCAAUCACAGCCGAUCGGGAGGAUGCAAUGACAUCACCUAAACUCUCU
rnacentral:lncRNA from 1 species